rnacentral:rRNA from 1 species
UACGUAGGGCGCAAGCGUUAUCCGGAAUUAUUGGGCGUAAAGAGCUCGUAGGCGGUUUGUCGCGUCUGCCGUGAAAGUCCGGGGCUCAACUCCGGAUCUGCGGUGGGUACGGGCAGACUAGAGUGAUGUAGGGGAGACUGGAAUUCCUGGUGUAGCGGUGAAAUGCGCAGAUAUCAGGAGGAACACCGAUGGCGAAGGCAGGUCUCUGGGCAUUAACUGACGCUGAGGAGCGAAAGCAUGGGGAGCGAACAGGAUUAGAUACCCGGGUAGUCC